GUACCAACUGGAUGAGCAGCGAACGGGUGAGUAACGCGUGGGGAAUCUGCCUUUGAGCGGGGGACAACAUUUGGAAACGAAUGCUAAUACCGCAUAAAAACUUUAAACACAAGUUUUAAGUUUGAAAGAUGCAAUUGCAUCACUCAAAGAUGAUCCCGCGUUGUAUUAGCUAGUUGGUGAGGUAAAGGCUCACCAAGGCGAUGAUACAUAGCCGACCUGAGAGGGUGAUCGGCCACAUUGGGACUGAGACACGGCCCAAACUCCUACGGGAGGCAGCAGUAGGGAAUCUUCGGCAAUGGACGAAAGUCUGACCGAGCAACGCCGCGUGAGUGAAGAAGGUUUUCGGAUCGUAAAACUCUGUUGGUAGAGAAGAACGUUGGUGAGAGUGGAAAGCUCAUCAAGUGACGGUAACUACCCAGAAAGGGACGGCUAACUACGUGCCAGCAGCCGCGGUAAUACGUAGGUCCCGAGCGUUGUCCGGAUUUAUUGGGCGUAAAGCGAGCGCAGGUGGUUUAUUAAGUCUGGUGUAAAAGGCAGUGGCUCAACCAUUGUAUGCAUUGGAAACUGGUAGACUUGAGUGCAGGAGAGGAGAGUGGAAUUCCAUGUGUAGCGGUGAAAUGCGUAGAUAUAUGGAGGAACACCGGUGGCGAAAGCGGCUCUCUGGCCUGUAACUGACACUGAGGCUCGAAAGCGUGGGGAGCAAACAGGAUUAGAUACCCUGGUAGUCCACGCCGUAAACGAUGAGUGCUAGAUGUAGGGAGCUAUAAGUUCUCUGUAUCGCAGCUA
rnacentral:rRNA from 1 species